UCUUUAUUCUAUGUUGUACGGCAUUCUAUCGUACCAUUUUUCUUUCUCUAUGGUGGUACGGCGGUAAUAUUUGCGAACGGUGUGGUCAAACGACCACAGCAGCAUCACGCAGGUUCGUUUUAAUUAGGUAAAAGUAAUAUCUCGGCCUGUUUAUGCGUCCAAGAUUAUAUAGCCACCGCCAAACGAACGUGUUUAAAGACGGUGAAUUGUAUCAGUUGCGGCGUUUCAGUGGCAUGACGGCUCCACGGCUUCCAUCGUUAGUGAUCUGCCGCGUCUGGCCGCAAUAUGACGUGUUGCUUGAAAAAAAUGUACUAGAUAGCGUGAAAAUUCAUCACUGGAACUGAUCACAGUCUUUGGAAGCUACCCACAUACAUGCACCACCUCCAAGACGCUGCUGAUAUUUGCUCAUCCCUUUUACUCUAUUGUCUCUGGACAUACUAGACAGCAGUGAAUGUGUCACCACUGGAAGUAACGUCAAGGAGCCAAAGUCCUCACGAGGAAGACGGACAAAAGAGAGAUUAUUGGUCUGCAAGCUGCCCAUACGAAGCCAUAAGAAGCUCAGUGGUCACCAUAAUGACAACAGGUCUCUGCAGUUCAAUUCUUGGACAAGCAUGUCGUCUUCAGCAGUAUCUUGCUGCAGGAACAAUUCGCCUUCCUGAGCGUGUAGCGACAGCUUGACGGGAAUCUUCGGCCUGGACAUCGGGAAGCGUUUGCUGAAUGCGUCGCGCUGACGGUCCCAAGACGUGGAGAAGUGCUUUUCUUGCGCCGUCAGGCUUAGCUGAAUAUUCUAUGGCGGUUUCGUAGAUCAAAAAGGCUUCCCGCCAUUCUUCCCAUUCACCUGCUGGGUUGUCGCCGGGCGUGAAUGGCGCUGGAGGUUGUAAAAAGGGACUUGCCAUGGCAGUCACGGGCGGGUGUUGCGGAGCUGUCGGCUACUGCUCUUGUUACUUCUGGCCCACUUCUGACACCAUGUUACGUCUCGGGAAUACAACAAAGACUUUAAGUUUACAUAGCUGGGUGCAUGUGCGCACGUUGUUGAUGCUGUUGCUGUAUAUAUAACACACACAGGCUUGUCAAGGCUAUCAAGAGUUAGGUUAUAUAUGUAGGUGGCGUUGGUUAUCAGAUACAAAUAUGUAACACUGUGGUUGAUGCGGUGAGAGGCUGGCCGUCCUCCACGUGCUCCUGGAGUGUCGGGAAGCUGAAGCUGAGAGAAAGAAACAUUUGCCUCUUACAUACCGUUAUUACAUCCCUCUUCACCUGGCUAUGUUUCUUGGUAAGGAACCACUUUUUAACGCCAAGGGAGUCCUCAGUUUCUUAAAUGAUGUUAUCUUACAUGUUAUAAGUCCAUUAAAUUAAUAGAGCAUCCUCGUUCCAGAGGAUGCCGCUGCGAUAAUUGUUUUGCAUAGCACAUGCCUCCAGGCCCUUGUGUUUCACGGGCUCUAAGGAGGCAGUAGUGCUCUAGCCAAUCUUAGAAUCAGAUAUAUCUUAUACAUCGUAUCAUUCUUUUGAAAUGCAUCUUAAUGUUCAUAGUACACGUCAUAUGUCAUCGCCAUAAUCUUAUACUAUACAGAUUUUGCGCACAUUAGAACAACUAUUUUUAAGGCCUCUUUACAGUCUCGUCACACCGACUUCAUAGAACUCAUAACUUCACUGCGAACUCAUUACCACGGGCAUGGCGCUCUUUGCCCAUACUUGGCCCUUGCGCCAUUAAACAUCAAAAAAAAAAAAAAGUUUUCAUUGAGGUUAUACUCGCAAUACGGUUGUAAUUAGAAUGAAACGAGAAGAGCUAUUUUUACUAGUUCAAGUGAAGUAAUAAGAUUACUGCAGCUGGGAUCCCAUAUUGCAGGUGCAUAUUCAAGUUUCGAGCAUAUUAGAGUCUUGUAAAGCUGUGGUUUAAAAUUUUUGUGAAAUAGUGAAAGACAGGCGACUUUACGGUAGUUAGCUAGUGGAAUAAGUGCUAGGUUAGUUUUCAUUGAAAUAUACUCGCCUUACGGAUAUAAUUAGAAUUAAACGAGUAGAGUUAUUUUUUACUACUUCAAGUAACGCUACUGGUAUCCCAUAUUGCAAAUGCAUAUUCGUUUCGAACGUAUUAGAGCCUUGUAAAGCUGUAGUUUUAACGUAGACGGUACUUUGAAAAACUUGCACCGUAAGUACCCGAGCAUAUGAUUAGCAUUGUUAAUGACGUACUCUGUAUUAAUGGUCCACUUUAAUCAAGUUAUUUGUAAUAUGUACAGCAAGGUAUUUAAAUGACAUGACGAAAUCUAAGGGAAUGUUAGGAUAGCAAGUGCUAUGAUUAGAAUUAGAUAUGGAUGCGCGCAUUAUUUACAUUUGUUAAUUACAAAUGGUUCAUGUACAGUUUGCAUUAAAUCAAUAACUAGGCUAGCCCUGCGCCUUAAGAGAUAGCUAGAAAAGGUAUAUUCACACAGUCGGCCUAUUCCACACUUCUCAAACAGACAAGUAACUAAAAAGAAUUUUUCUUCCUCUUCAAACAACAGAUGACAAACCUGAGCACAGCGUGUCCCCAAAAAGUUUUUUGAAAUAUGCUCAGAGUAAGUUUAGCUCAGCGUUCAGCCCAUCAACAGUGGAUGAGCAAGGGAAGCCUCAGCAUGGGAACUUGUCUUCGUCUCGGCCCUCACAAAUAUGUUUGCUUGCUGAAACAUUGGCUCCAGGCUGAGGCGUCCCUUGCUCACCUCUAUUUCUAAGUUGAAGUGUUCAUAUCUUGCAACCUCUUUGCCUUGUUUGAAUACACAAACCAAGAUGUUUUUUCAGCAUGAAACCGCAAAUUGCAUUUUCCAAGGAUCCGUGAGCAUUAAUUGGGCUUGCUUAUAUGUUUAUUUAGUGUCCUUGUUUAUUCACACAAUAUUUGCAGAAGUCCUUGUUAGCACUGUUGUCUCCAUAACAUUCCUUGCCAGCAUUCCACUUGUGCCAAAGCCUUUUACUGCUGCACCUGAAAACCAAAUGUGCAGCAGAAGUGCCAAGAGCAGGCAAUAUGUGCAGUAAAAUAUAACGUAAAGUUUUUUUUUUUUUCACUACACUACGUGCCUCUCGCGAAUGUGUUAUGAAAACAAUGGGAUAUUGCAGCUAGAGCUUAUUUUGCUGACAGUACGACUUUGCCGAGCACGUUUUACGUUUCUUUUUUAAUCUAGCUGAAAUCGUUGAACGCAGACAAUAUACAUAUAGUAUGAAACAUGUCAAGCAGCACUGUACGUAACUUCAAGUACAAGGCAGCCAGCUUCAGUCUCCUGACUUUAGCAGCACGCCCAACACGAUGAAAAAACUUCGUUCGCUUUCAGCUUUCAGUUCCAUUAAAUGGAUGUCUGUCUGUGUUUCUGUAUAUUGCAAACUUAGUGACUGACAGCAUUAAGUCCACCUGACCUGCACGAAAAUUGUGAGCAUGUACUGCUUCAUUCACCGUUGACAAUAAACAAUAUAAGCUUAC